UCUAGAUCUAACUAUUAGAUCUAUCAGUACGACCAAAAUAAGUUAGAAAUAAUUAUCAAACCAAUUUUGAUCUUGAUCUCUUUUGGUCUAAUGGUUGGAGAAGGUAUUCUUCAAGUCACUCAUAGCCACACGAAGUCAUCUGGCCUCUACAGAAAAUCCACGUGAAGUCUGGCAUAGAUCAGGGGCUUGGAGAUGCUAGUCUGCAAGCAACUUUGACAGUUGAUCUCUUCCUUCUUCUUCAAGCACCUUGGAUACUCCAAAGCAAGAAGAGAUCUGGAGGAGGAAGAGAAGAAGAGGAGGAGAGGCUUUGGAAAUGAAAACACCAGCA
rnacentral:lncRNA from 1 species